rnacentral:rRNA from 1 species
GUGUCAGCCGCCGCGGUAAUACGUAGGUGGCAAGCGUUGUCCGGAAUUACUGGGUGUAAAGGGAGCGUAGGCGGGAAUGCAAGUUGAAUGUGAAAUCUAUGGGCUCAACCCAUAGCUGCGUUCAAAACUGUGUUUCUUGAGUGAAGUAGAGGUAGGCGGAAUUCCUAGUGUAGCGGUGAAAUGCGUAAAUAUUAGGAGGAACACCAGUGGCGAAGGCGGCCUACUGGGCUUUAACUGACGCUGAUGCUCGAAAGCGUGGGUAGCAAACAGGAUUAGAUACCCUGGUAGUCCACGCCGUAAACGAUGAUUACUAGGUGUGGGGGGACUGACCCCUUCCGUGCCGCAGUUAACACAAUAAGUAAUCCACCUGGGGAGUACGACCGCAAGGUUGAAACUCAAAGGAAUUGACGG